UUUUAAUCACUUUAGGAAGUAUAAUAAACCAUAGAACAAUGGCGGUCUUAGUUUAUUAGAAAAACUCGCUUCAUAAUCGUAAACACUCGAUAAUUUUAACUUAAUUCAAUAGUCUAUAUACCGCCGUUAAAGAAUUAUUUUAAAAAAUAAGAUCCAACAUUAAAUCUCAAAAAAAAUCAGGUCAAGGUGUAAUAAAUAUUUAAGAAGAAGUAAGUUACAAUAAAUAACAAUUUAAGGAAUAAAAUUUAAAACAAUUAUAAAAAAAAUUUAUAUACACAUUAAAAUUAAAAAUUUUAAUUGAAAUAUAAAACAAAGAUGU
rnacentral:rRNA from 1 species